AUCUUUCAACACCUCCCCCUUUUCCAUGGCUAAUUCAUUGUCAUGGAAACUGAAUUUAUCAAAAUGUUCUUGUUCACUCCUAGUGACCCAAUGAGUCGGCUUGCAGAGCUGGUGAAAGAAUUUUCCUUUGCUGAUCUGUAGCCCAAGGAUGCAAAAAUCCUUCAUCACCUCAUCAAAAACAUCUUUCCUUAUCUGUUACUGAAGCAGAGGCAAGUUGGAAGACUGAGCAAGAGGACAGUUAGAGGACCAAGAGCAAUAAGGAGAUGAAGUCAGUAAUACACAGAUGAGAUUGCUGUAUCCCAGGAGGACAACAAAGUGACUUUCUUCUUAAUCAUGACUUAAUCAUGAAGUAACAAUGUGAGACAAAGAACAGAUAAUUCAUUUUUUUUCUGUACAUGUCAUCACUUGUCCUUCAAAAGAAUCUUGCAAAAUAUUAGGGCAUUUUCUAGGAACUUAGCAUCCCCAUGAAAACUAAGUGCUAGUUCCUUGUGUAAUGUAGAAAUUUUUUUCCAACACUAUCAAUUGGACUAAGAAGACCAGCUCCUCGAAACCCUGAACUGCAUAUAUCUUCAGAUCACCACCAUUUCUGUAAUAUUGCAAAACACUGUGAUGAACAAAUUUGAUUUAUCUGAAAUAUAAGCAGUUGCUUCUUUCCUUUUAAUGCCUCACUCUGCCUCCUUUUAAUCUCUUUUAGUUCAAAAAUUUUUGGAUCAUGGGAAUAAUACAUUCUAGGAUGCUUGUAAAUGCAGUCAUUUAAUGAGAUUACUAGCUUCUUAUUGAUAACAUACACUUGCUAAAAAUGAAUCUUUACAAGUACAGGAACUUUUACAAUUUACAAGAAUAUAUUUUUACUGCUGAAAGAAAAUAAAUUGCUAUGUUUUGGAAGUUUGUUUCCCUGUAUAUAAAAUCUUCAUUAAAGCCACUAAUAACCAUUUCACUGUUUUUAGAAUUUCAUUGUAAAUUUCGAGUAUUGUUUGUCAAUAAUACAUUUUUAUACUAUAUUGGAGACUAAUCAGAUUGACAUGGUAUGGACAGUUUUCUUUAAAAUCAAC